ACUUAAAUAGUUUAAUUAAAAUAAAAGAUUGUGGUUCUUUUGAUGUAUAACACACUUUAAGUA
rnacentral:tRNA from 1 species